rnacentral:rRNA from 1 species
AAUGAACGCUGGCGGCAGGCCUAACACAUGCAAGUCGAACGGAUCCUUCGGGAUUAGUGGCGGACGGGUGAGUAACGCGUGGGAACAUACCCAAAGGUAAGGAAUAGCCUCGGGAAACUGGGAGUAAUACCGUAUGUGCUCGCAAGAGGAAAGAUUUAUCGCCUUUGGAUUGGCCCGCGUUGGAUUAGGUAGUUGGUGGGGUAAUGGCCUACCAAGCCGACGAUCCAUAGCUGGUUUGAGAGGAUGAUCAGCCACACUGGGACUGAGACACGGCCCAGACUCGUACGGGAGGCAGCAGUGGGGAAUCUUAGACAAUGGGGGAAACCCUGAUCUAGCCAUGCCGCGUGAUCGAUGAAGGCCUUAGGGUUGUAAAGAUCUUUCAGGUGGGAAGAUAAUGACUGUACCACCAGAAGAAGCCCCGGCUAACUCCGUGCCAGCCGCCGCCGUAA